AAUCAGCUGCCGUCAACAGAAAAGGAUGAAUAGCAUAGCGACAGAAACACUUGGCGAGGUACGGAGAUUGCUUGCCUCGUUUUGUCGUAAUUUCGACUUUUAUUUAUUCUGACCUUUUGCUACACAAAAGCUAUAAGCCUCAUUACCAUUAACUUUACCGUAAACCAUUCAUAUGUAAAUAAUUUAGUCUGUGCGUGAAAUUUAGUGAUAAACCAGUGCGACACCGGAGUGCGUUAAAUCUCAUAUUUCGGAUAGACCCAGUGAAGUCCGAUGCAACCGCUCAACCGUGCCAUUUGCUGUGGGCGCACACCGAGCAACAUAACAUAAUUAACCUAGUCAGCAGGACUAUAAUCUGCAUGUGAUAUAAUUUAUUCUAGCUAUAACGACGACUAAUGAGAAACAUAGACAUACUCCUAAUCUUAAAUACGUAGAGAAAAUAGAAUUAGAAGC